AGCAGCAGCCGCGGGAAUACGGAGGGUGCAAGCGUUAUCCGGAUUUAUUGGGUUUAAAGGGUCCGUAGGCGGAUCUGUAAGUCAGUGGUGAAAUCUCACAGCUUAACUGUGAAACUGCCAUUGAUACUGCAGGUCUUGAGUAAAUUUGAAGUGGCUGGAAUAAGUAGUGUAGCGGUGAAAUGCAUAGAUAUUACUUAGAACACCAAUUGCGAAGGCAGGUCACUAAGAUUUAACUGACGCUGAUGGACGAAAGCGUGGGGAGCGAACAGGAUUAGAUACCCCUGUAGUCCCUGUCUCUUAUAU
rnacentral:rRNA from 1 species